rnacentral:misc_RNA from 1 species
GCGAGUAAGACCCUGCCCUAGUGGCUCGGUCAGUCCCAUCAUAUACACCCUUAUUCGUGAACUCGUGGUUCAGCUGGACGAUGAAAGCUUUGGCGACUAGCCGUCCGUCGGUUCCGCUCUCUAUACCCUUUAUGUGAAGUCAAUGGAAAUUAUGAUAAUCUAAUA